rnacentral:rRNA from 1 species
GACGAACGCUGGCGGCGUGCUUAACACAUGCAAGUCGAACGAAGAGCGACGGAAGCUUGCUUCUAUCAAUCUUAGUGGCGAACGGGUGAGUAACGCGUAAUCAACCUGCCCUUCAGAGGGGGACAACAGUUGGAAACGACUGCUAAUACCGCAUACGGUCUAAUCUCGGCAUCGAGGAUGGAUGAAAGGUGGCCUCUACAUGUAAGCUAUCACUGAAGGAGGGGAUUGCGUCUGAUUAGCUAGUUGGAGGGGUAACGGCCCACCAAGGCGAUGAUCAGUAGCCGGUCUGAGAGGAUGAACGGCCACAUUGGGACUGAGACACGGCCCAGACUCCUACGGGAGGCAGCAGUGGGGAAUCUUCCGCAAUGGACGAAAGUCUGACGGAGCAACGCCGCGUGAGUGAUGACGGCCUUCGGGUUGUAAAGCUCUGUUAAUCGGGACGAAAGGCCUUCUUGCGAAUAGUGAGAAGGAUUGACGGUACCGGAAUAGAAAGCCACGGCUAACUAUGUG